GCUUAACACAUGCAAGUCGAGCGAGAAUCGUUUAUUGAAGGCUUCGGCUGGAAAUAGAUGAGGAAAGCGGCGAACGGGUGAGUAACGCGUGGGCAACCUGGCCUUAAGAAAAGGAUAGCCCCCGGAAACGGGGAGUAACACUUUAUGAGAAUGAAAGAGGGCAUCCUACAUUCAUUCAAAGCGCAAGCGCUUAAGGAUGGGCCCGCGUAUCAUUAGCUAGUUGGUGAGAUAACAGCCCACCAAGGCAACGAUGAUUAGCCGGUCUGAGAGGGCGAACGGCCACAUUGGAACUGAGAGACGGUCCAAACUCCUACGGGAGGCAGCAGUGGGGAAUAUUGCGCAAUGGAGAAGAACUCUGACGCAGCAAUACCGCGUGAGCGAAGAAGGUCUUCGGAUCGUAAAGCUCUGUUAUCAGGGAAGAAGAAAAUGACGGUACCUGAUGAGCAAGUCCCGGCUAACUACGUGCCAGCAGCCGCCGUAACAC
rnacentral:rRNA from 1 species